AGUGAACGCUGGCGGUAGGCCUAACACAUGCAAGUCGAACGGCAGCACAGUAAGAGCUUGCUCUUACGGGUGGCGAGUGGCGGACGAGUGAGGAAUACAUCGGAAUCUACUUUUUCGUGGGGGAUAACGUAGGGAAACUUACGCUAAUACCGCAUACGACCUACGGGUGAAAGCAGGGGAUCUUCGGACCUUGCGCGAUUGAAUGAGCCGAUGUCGGAUUAGCUAGUUGGCGGGGUAAAGGCCCACCAAGGCGACGAUCCGUAGCUGGUCUGAGAGGAUGAUCAGCCACACUGGAACUGAGACACGGUCCAGACUCCUACGGGAGGCAGCAGUGGGGAAUAUUGGACAAUGGGCGCAAGCCUGAUCCAGCCCUACCGCGUGGGUGAAGAAGGCCUUCGGGUUGUAAAGCCCUUUUGUUGGGAAAGAAAAGCAGCAGGUUAAUACCCCGCUGUUCUGACGGUACCCAAAGAAUAAGCACCGGCUAACUUCGUG
rnacentral:rRNA from 1 species